GGGUUGUGAGGUUAAGCGACUAAGCGUACACGGUGGAUGCCCUGGCAGUCAGAGGCGAUGAAGGGCGUGCUAAUCUGCGAUAAGCGCCGGUAAGGUGAUAUGAACCGUUAUAACCGGCGAUACCCGAAUGGGGAAACCCAGUGUGACUCGUCACACUAUCAUUAACUGAAUCCAUAGGUUAAUGAGGCGAACCGGGGGAACUGAAACAUCUAAGUACCCCGAGGAAAAGAAAUCAACCGAGAUUCCCCCAGUAGCGGCGAGCGAACGGGGAGGAGCCCAGAGCCUGAAUCAGCAUGUGUGUUAGUGGAAGCGUCUGGAAAGACGCGCGAUACAGGGUGACAGCCCCGUACACAAAAGCGCAUGUGCUGUGAGCUCGAUGAGUAGGGCGGGACACGUGGUAUCCUGUCUGAAUAUGGGGGGACCAUCCUCCAAGGCUAAAUACUCCUGACUGACCGAUAGUGAACCAGUACCGUGAGGGAAAGGCGAAAAGAACCCCGGCGAGGGGAGUGAAAAAGAACCUGAAACCGUGUACGUACAAGCAGUGGGAGCACCCUUUGGGGUGUGACUGCGUACCUUUUGUAUAAUGGGUCAGCGACUUAUAUUCUGUAGCAAGGUUAACCGUAUAGGGGAGCCGUAGGGAAACCGAGUCUUAAC
rnacentral:rRNA from 1 species